UACGUAGGGGGCAAGCGUUAUCCGGAUUCAUUGGGCGUAAAGCGCGCGUAGGCGGCUUGUUAAGCGAGAUGUGAAAACCGGGGGCUUAACCCGCGGCCUGCAUCUCGAACUGGCAGGCUUGAGUUUGGUAGAGGAGUGUGGAAUUCCCAGUGUAGCGGUGAAAUGCGCAGAUAUUGGGAGGAACACCAGUGGCGAAGGCGGCACUCUGGGCCAUAACUGACGCUGAGGCGCGAAAGCUAGGGGAGCGAACAGG
rnacentral:rRNA from 1 species